rnacentral:rRNA from 1 species
AUUAGUUUGAUCCUGGCUCAGAACGAACGCUGGCGGCAGGCUUAACACAUGCAAGUCGAGCGUCCUCGCAAGGGGGCGCGGCAGACGGGUGAGUAACGCGUGGGAACAUACCUUUCGGUUCGGAAUAACCCAGGGAAACUUGGGACAAUACCGGAUACGUGCGAGAGCAGAAAGAUUUAUCGCCGAAAGAUUGGCCCGCGUCCGAUUAGCUAGUUGGUGAGGUAACGGCUCACCAAGGCGACGAUCGGUAGCUGGUCUGAGAGGAUGAUCAGCCACACUGGGACUGAGACACGGCCCAGACUCCUACGGGAGGCAGCAGUGGGGAAUAUUGGACAAUGGGCGCAAGCCUGAUCCAGCCAUGCCGCGUGAGUGAUGAAGGCCCUAGGGUUGUAAAGCUCUUUCGCCAGGGACGAUAAUGACGGUACCUGGAUAAGAAGCCCCGGCUAACUUCGUGCCAGCAGCCGCGGUAAUAAU